CCUACGGGGGGCUGCAGUGGGGAAUAUUGGACAAUGGGGGCAACCCUGAUCCAGCCAUGCCGCGUGUGUGAAGAAGGCCCUCGGGUUGUAAAGCACUUUCAGUGAGGAAGAACGCCUGUGGUUAAUACCCAUCAGGAAAGACAUCACUCACAGAAGAAGCACCGGCUAACUCCGUGCCAGCAGCCGCGGUAAUACGGAGGGUGCGAGCGUUAAUCGGAAUUACUGGGCGUAAAGCGCGCGUAGGUGGCUUGAUAAGCCGGUUGUGAAAGCCCCGGGCUCAACCUGGGAACGGCAUCCGGAACUGUCAAGCUAGAGUGCAGGAGAGGAAGGUAGAAUUCCCGGUGUAGCGGUGAAAUGCGUAGAGAUCGGGAGGAAUACCAGUGGCGAAGGCGGCCUUCUGGACUGACACUGACACUGAGGUGCGAAAGCGUGGGUAGCAAACAGGAUUAGAUACCCGUGUAGUC
rnacentral:rRNA from 1 species